GACGAACGCUGGCGGCGUGCUUAACACAUGCAAGUCGAACGAAGAGCGAUGGAAGCUUGCUUCUAUCAAUCUUAGUGGCGAACGGGUGAGUAACGCGUAAUCAACCUGCCCUUCAGAGGGGGACAACAGUUGGAAACGACUGCUAAUACCGCAUACGAUCCAAUCUCGGCAUCGGGACUGGAUGAAAGGUGGCCUCUAUUUAUAAGCUAUCACUGAAGGAGGGGAUUGCGUCUGAUUAGCUAGUUGGAGGGGUAACGGCCCACCAAGGCGAUGAUCAGUAGCCGGUCUGAGAGGAUGAACGGCCACAUUGGGACUGAGACACGGCCCAGACUCCUACGGGAGGCAGCAGUGGGGAAUCUUCCGCAAUGGACGAAAGUCUGACGGAGCAACGCCGCGUGAGUGAUGACGGCCUUCGGGUUGUAAAGCUCUGUUAAUCGGGACGAAUGGUUCUUGUGCGAAUAGUGCGAGGAUUUGAUGGUACCGGAAUAGAAAGCCACGGCUAACUACGUG
rnacentral:rRNA from 1 species